CAGUGUCACAAGAGCCCCUUGGUUCUGUGGAGCCCACAGGCUCAGUUUUGCCAGUGGGCAGGGUCAGUGCCAAAGACAUAGACACCAACUGAAGGAAUUGUGUAAUUUAUAUAAUGUCUAUGUGCAAAAAAUUACAAAAGGAGAAGCUCAACAGAGCACAUCAUCAUUAGAAAAUAAUUACAAAACCAGAAGCUCAGCAAUGCAUCCAACCAUCACCACCAAGGAUUGCAGUAGUGAUUAAGAAACAUCCAGCACCAGUCCCCCUCAGGCUUUACCAUCCCCCAGAUCCACACAGCAGCAGGGGAAGCUGUCACAGCCAAGGGCUGCAGAGCCACUCCUGGACACUGGGAAUUCCUGCAGGUGCCUCCAGCCACAGAAUUUCACAUCCCAAAACCUUUGCCAGAUGGAGGAGGAUGUUGUGAGGAAGACAAAGAUGCCCUGGGACAUGCAGGCAGGAUCUGGGGAUGGAGACCAGCGAGGACAAAGCCCCAUGGCACAACCUUGUAGCAGAGGCCAUUUUGAGUGGCUCCACAGCACAGGAAUACAACGGGGAAGAAAAGCCCCAGAGAUCCCACAGGAGGAGGGGCUGCAAACCCAGCCCAGGCUACUCUGAAAAGGAAAGACCCACCCUGAGCCAGGAAGGUGGACAGUGCUUCAGCCAGAACUCAGAGCUGGUGAUCCAUGAGCAGCUUCAUGAUGGGGAUAAGCCCCACAAGUGCUUGGAGUGUGGGAAGAGCUUCAGGCAGAGCUCCCACCUAAUCCGCCACCAGAUGAUCCACACCGGGGAAUGGCCGCACAAAUGUGGGGAGUGUGGGAAGGGCUUCAGCUGCAGAUCCACCCUGGCGACCCACCAACGC